rnacentral:rRNA from 1 species
UACGUAGGGGGCAAGCGUUGUCCGGAUUUAUUGGGCGUAAAGAGCGUGUAGGCGGUUUGGUAGGUCCGUUGUGGAAACUCGAGGCUCAACCUCGAGACGCCGAUGGAAACCAUCAGACUAGAGUCCGGAAGAGGAGAGUGGAAUUCCUGGUGUAGCGGUGAAAUGCGCAGAUAUCAGGAGGAACACCGGUGGCGAAGGCGGGUCUCUGGGCCGUAACUGACGCUGAGGAGCGAAAGCGUGGGGAGCGAACAGG